rnacentral:rRNA from 1 species
UACGUAGGUGACAAGCGUUGUCCGGAUUUACUGGGCGUAAAGGGCGCGUAGGCGGCUUAUCAAGUCAGGCGUGAAAUUCCCGGGCUCAACCUGGGGGCUGCGCUUGAUACUGAUGAGCUUGAAUGCGGGAGAGGAUAGUGGAAUUCCCAGUGUAGAGGUGAAAUUCGUAGAUAUUGGGAAGAACACCGGUGGCGAAGGCGGCUAUCUGGCCCGUAAUUGACGCUGAGGCGCGAAAGCGUGGGGAGCAAACAGG